rnacentral:tRNA from 1 species
UCCCUGGUGGCUCAAAGAUUAGAGCAUCUGUCUCCAAUGCAGGAGACCCAGGUUCGAUCCCUUGGUCGGGAA